AAACCGUUGAAAGGGAAGCGAAUGGAGUUAGCAAUUCGCCCCGCCAGAUUCAGUUGCUCGCACGUCGCGACGUACGCGCUCUCGAUCCGCAUGGACGAGACGUGUGCGGGUGCGACGUGCGGUCUGCGCACUUCUGGCGAGCGAGCGUCAGCGUCGGUUGUCGACGGGCGACAAGGACGCGGGGAAGGUGCGCCGGCCCUCGCGGCUGGCCGUUAUAGCCCCGCGAUCGCAUAGCUCGACGGCGACCGUGGCUCUGCGACGCGUGCCUGGCUGGCGACUCGAACGAUCGGUCCGGCAUGUCGACCGUGGCGGACGGCACGCCUGUGCGCUCGAACUGCUGCCGGCCGAUCGGACGAUGUUCGCACACUACGCGUCGAGGAUGCUGACGGCCAUACGGCUCCAUCCGACCCGUCUUGAAACACGGACCAAGGAGUCUAACAUGUGCGCGAGUCUCCGGGUGAUCGAAACCUGUGGGCGCAAUGAAAGUAAAGAUCGUCCUAGACGGUUGAGGUGAGAAGCGAACGCCUCGGCGAACGCGGCAUCAUCGACCGACCUUAUCUGCUCUCAGAAAGGUUUGAGUAAGAGCGUAUCUGUUGGGACCCGAAAGAUGGUGAACUAUGCCUGAAUAGGGUGAAGCCNGCGGAAACACU
rnacentral:rRNA from 1 species